rnacentral:lncRNA from 1 species
GCUGGUAGGUAUUGCUGAUUUGAUCCGAUAAGUUGGAUUUGGAAGGCUAGUACCAUCUCUCACAUGUCCUGUCAAGGUUGUAUAUCCUACAUUUCAUGACUUGCACAGCUGCACGUUUUUAGCUCAUCUAUUUCCCAGGUAUAUGAAGUCAACAUUGCUAAAACUACAUUUAUAACCCAAGUUAAUUCAUAGGGUUUAUUAAAUCCACUUAUGAGA